UGUCAAAACCAUGGUGUUUUAAGGAAACAAACGUUUUCAACAUUGCAACUGGCCAUUUAGUUCCAUAGUUUCUUGAUUCUAGUAUAGUUAGGUAAAUAGGUCCAAGAAUAAUUAAGAGAGUUAGCUGCACUGCACAGCCUACACUGCCCUAAACAACAACACUGUAAAUGUCGUAAAGAGGAUAUCUUCUUUUUUUUUUUUUGAAACAACAUGUUCAAUGAACUUUGUAAUAUAAUUUUAGUUCUCAUUUUUUUAACUCUUUUAGAUUACAAGUAAAAUUAAUUGGGAGUUUUGAUUCCACUUUAAUUUGGCUACUAUCUAACUCUCCGAAUAUAUGUGUAAGUAAAUACUGUAUAUAGCAU
rnacentral:lncRNA from 1 species